rnacentral:lncRNA from 1 species
CCCUGUAGUAGCUAAGUUGCUAAUGUGUGCUGUGAGUGAGGUGAGCUGUCUGCCCGUGAAUGGCAGGGGUUUUGAGUGGCAGUGCUGUGCCAUGUGUGGUGGUCAGGGGUUAGUGGGCACCGCUGGGCUGUGGUAACAAGUUGAAAGCCUUGCCCUGAGCCUGGAGCGUGGGGAUAAUGACCCGUGGCAUGUUGUCUCUUGCCCUAGGUGCCAUAACUAAUUGGGCUGCAUUCUCUGAAAGGGUAUGUCUCCCUCUUUCCCUUUUUUACCUCACUAUCUCCCUCCAUUUCUGUCUUUCUUUACUCACUACUUCACUCCCUCUCUUACUCUCUGGGUGGAAGGAUGGUAGUCCAUCCCUCCAUUCUUUCUUUCUUUACUCACUAUCUCUCACUCCCUCCUUUACUCUAUGGGUGGAAGGAUGGUAGUCCCCAUUCCUCCAUUUCUGUCUUUCUUUACUCACUAUCUCUCACUCCCUCUCUUUACUCUCUGGGUGGAAGGAUGGUAGUCCCAUUCCCUCCAUUUCUGUCUUUCUUUACUCACUACUCUCACUCCCUCUCUUUACUCCUGGGUGAAGAGGGUAGUCCCCAUUCCCUCCAUUUCUGUCUUUUCUUUCUUUACUCACUAUCUCUCACUCCCUCUCUUUACUCUCUGGGUGGAAGGAUGGUAGUCCCAUUCCCUCCAUUUCUUUGAAAUCUAAAAGAUGUGAUGAGGUGUUGAGUGGGAAGGAGGGCAUGUGUGUGUGUGUGUGUGUGUGUGUGUGUGGCAGAGAGACAGAGAAUGAAAGUGAGGACUUUUUCCAAUCCAAAUCUGCCAUCUGCAACGAUUGGAUUCUGGCCCAUGAUUAAAGAUGGGCUACUGUCACACUCUCCUUAAUGACUGAGACCCUAUGAAUGCAGCACACUGCAUGAAAUGCCAAAGAGCCUACUGUCUGGCACCUUGCAGGGCCUUGAUACUUGCCCAGGAGCCAAGCGUACCUGCUGUGGCAUCUGUGUGCUCAGAGGCACGGGACUCUGGGCCCGGCUCGCUGGACUGUGCCAGCAGGCAUCAUGCUUCAAUGCUGGUUAGGCAAGACCCAGUUUCAUCAUGUAUGUCCCUUGUCGUGAGACCAUUGUGUGCUUGCAGUGCUCAUUUAGGCUUAUCCAAACAUGUGUAUUUAUAGACAUAGUAGAUGAACUCCUGGUGCUGUUUUGAUUUGCUUCCUUCGCUGCUAUGCAAUCUGGUUUCAGAGCUGGUCAUGAGUGCACCUCAGCCAAGCUCAAGGUCCUAAACGAUAUCUUAACCGCCAUCGACAAGAAACAUUACUGUGCAGCCGUAUUCAUUGAUCUGGCCAAGGCUUUCGACUCUGUCAAUCACCACAUCCUCAUCGGCAGACUCGACAGCUUUGGUUUCUCAAAUGAUUGCCUCGCCUGGUUCACCA